UUUUUUUUUAUGUAAUAUUAUUUGAGGGGUACAGCCAAAAUUACUUGUCAUGGUGCCACUCGAGAAGAAUCGCACAAAGAGUCUGUACCCUAACACAAACAUGCUGUGUUCACCAGUGAAGUGCUGUGAUGUGAAAGAGGUUAUGGUCCAGGGUCAGAGAGAUCCUCCUUUCACAGGCUCUUGGCCCUUCACUACUCAGCCUUCUCCAAGCAGGAGUAGAGGCUAUAUUUGAACAUCUCAACAAGGAUGCAUCCCUACUGAGUUUUCUGGAAUUGGCCUUUAAGAAAAGCCUGGACCAGGGCUGGAAACUGGACUGCAGAUGGUCCUCCACAUUUCCAGAAUGUGGGCUUAGGCAACAUGUUACAGGGACUAUAAGCAUGCAAGCACACAACAUGGUUGUUUACCAUGCAAAGGCAGAGCAAGGAAUGUAGACAUGCAGAGACUUGAUUUCCAGACCAUGGGUUCCUGAGUGACAUGCACACUGUCCAUUUUAAUCCCUCUAAGCUGGUCUCCCCUGUAUUUUAAUCAGUUCACUCAGAGGCUAAGCAGGUAGAAGGAAGUAAUCUCUAAAAGCAUGAGUGAAACCUCCCAUUGGGGGUGUGUACACGUGAGCUGGAUGGGGAGGAAGAAAUAGUUGCAUUUACCUCAUCAAAAAAGGAGUAUAAAUAGUCUGGGAAGCGUUAGGCUUUCUCAGUUCCCAGGUGCCAGUGCAUGAAGCAGUGACAUCAAAGUGGACCAUGGCAACUUUCCUCUUCUUGGUGCAACUCCUCUUCAUUGGGACACUAAUCAUCCCAGCAUACACAGAGACAGAUAAAUGUAAUUUGCUCAUGAAUGCAUCUGCAAGCAAUUUCAUUGUAUCUGUGACUCCUGAGGCAUACAAGGCAAACACAACCUACCAAGUUACAAUAAGUAAUGACAGAAACCGCACUGAUAGCACGAAUGUGACUGAAUACUUACUGCAAGCCUUAUCCCCGCAAAAUGACUCCAUUGGAGAAUGGAAGGUGGACAACAAGAAAAAUUGCAGUUCUAUUGACACAGCAGUAUUAAAUGCCACUCAGAAUGCAAUAAACUGGACAUCUCCAACCAGUAACAUAACUUCUGCAGAAAUAAGGUAAGACUAUACUCCACCUUUAAGUAUUCAGCUGGGACUGUAUUUGUCUGUGUAAGCUUUUGGCGAUGCCCAGAAUCAAGAGCCCACCUCUAGAGCUGGUGUUGAAAUAGACCUCUUGAGCCUUCUCCAGAUAUUCUCUUGAAAAUACCAAGGAAAAAUUUUCUGCAAAGCCAUAUCUAGAGGUCACCCCAUGGAUGGUCUUGUAGUUUAAAGACUUGCUCACAUUAGCAGGGACGUAAAUUAGUUCUAUGGAAAUGAAUGGAUUGAUCACCCUUAUUGUUUCCAUUAACACUAAUGCAGUUCUAUCAGUGGGAAAUAUUUGUCAAAGGAAACCGUAGCCAUUAGCCUAAUUUGCCUUAUCUGUGGAAAGGAAGAAUGCAAUAGUUUAUGACAAUUGUGAUUCUAAUUACAAGGAGCAGGUGGUCACAAUAUAUGGCCACCCAGUUACAAGGCAUUUCUAUCCCAUGCAGAGAAGGGCAGUAAAGCAGCCAAAGCGUAAUGAAGAAAGAGUAUUUCAGAUCUUAAAAAAAAUAAAUAAUAAAGUGAAAUAUGGCUGGAGGGCA
rnacentral:lncRNA from 1 species